UACAGAGGGGGCAAGCGUUGUUCGGAAUUACUGGGCGUAAAGGGCGCGUAGGCGGCCUGCUAAGUCGAACGUGAAAUCCCUGGGCUCAACCCAGGAACUGCGUCCGAUACUGGUUGGCUUGAAUCCGGGAGAGGGAUGUGGAAUUCCAGGUGUAGCGGUGAAAUGCGUAGAUAUCGGGAGGAACACCAGUGGCGAAGGCGGCUUUCUGGCCUGUUCUUGACGCUGAGGCGCGAAAGCUAGGGUAGCAAACGGG
rnacentral:rRNA from 1 species